UGAAGCUGGUCAAGGUGGCGUCUGGUUUAUUGUUGUUAAUGUGUGGACCUUCCUCCCUCCCUCGGGUGUACGGCUCCAAUUGGUUGUUACUGUAGUGUUAAGACAACUACCAUAUUGCUGCCUCGCUGAUCGUGGUUAAUGAAGUUCCUCUUGUCAUUCGUCGAGGACGGUGACGUGAAGAUGUAAGAUAUGGGCCACAAGACGAAGGUUUGUUUUGGUUAACGGGUCUCUUGCUGCACCACAUUGGAAACUUUCUGUUAUAACGUAAGAUACUGUGAUGUCACGUCUCAAGACCAAGUGUAACUAAGUAGAAGUUCACAAUGUCAAGCAGAGAUAAAAAGUUCUCCUGUGAGGAAUGUGGCAAACAGUUUGGCUUCAAGUCUACUCUUCAGAAACAUUUACUUGUACACAAUGGUGUGAAGGAGUUUGAAUGUGAGGAAUGUGGGAAAUGUUUCUCCCACAAGAGUACUCUCAAGAAACACAUUCUUGUACACAAUGGUGUGAAGGAGUU
rnacentral:lncRNA from 1 species